rnacentral:pre_miRNA from 1 species
GCAUGCCUGGUUCUUCAUAUGCCACACGUAGAGACCUAUCUUUGUAUCAAAUUGCCUCCUGGGUGGCGUAUGGAGAGCCAAGCAUGC